GAUGAACGCUAGCGGCAGGCCUAAUACAUGCAAGUCGAACGAGAUCAGUUCUUUCGGGAACUGGUUUAGUGGCGCACGGGUGCGUAACGCGUAUGCAACCUACCUUCCACAGGGGGAUAGCCCACCGAAGGGUGGAUUAAUACCGCAUAACACCACGGUCCUGGCAUCAGGAUGUGGUCAAAGAUUUAUCGGUGGAAGAUGGGCAUGCGUGCCAUUAGUUAGUUGGUAGGGUAACGGCCUACCAAGACUUCGAUGGCUAGGGGUUCUGAGAGGAUGGUCCCCCACACUGGUACUGAGACACGGACCAGACUCCUACGGGAGGCAGCAGUAGGGAAUAUUGGGCAAUGGCCGAGAGGCUGACCCAGCCAUGCCGCGUGCAGGAAGAAGGCCUUCUGGGUUGUAAACUGCUUUUAUCUGGGAAGAAAACGCCCCUGCGGGGGUAACUGACGGUACCAGAUAAAUAAGCACCGGCUAACUCCGUGCCAGCAGCCGCGGUAAUACGGAGGGUGCG
rnacentral:rRNA from 1 species